rnacentral:lncRNA from 12 species
AUGGCUGAGAUCACAGAGAUGGACCUGAUUUCUGCUCUCACUGGCUGGGACAGCAAGCUUCAGGCCACAGAGAAGCUUGUGCUUCAGGGACUCGGGCCUGUGCCCAGGGUGGGUGGGAGGGGUUAUUGGACAGGUGGCCAGGGCUGGGCUGAAGACCCCCCACCUUUCCCCAGCCGCUCAUCCCAGGGCUCGGAGAAGCCCACCCCAUGUGGCCCCGUGGGCAGCUACAUCCCCACUCCUCAGGUGGGGACACCAGCUUCCCUGAGAGUGAGGCUCCUGAAUCUCUAUACCCUCAGGCACUUCCCAGAGGACCCUAGUCACCCUCUACCAGACUCUACCCUCCUUGAAGGACCCUCAGCAGUCCUGGGGUCCUCCUCCUGGCAACACCAGCCUGACACUGUGGAAGGCUCUACAAGGCGCUCUCUGAGGGGCAGACGCUGGCUCCUCGUUCCUGAUGCUUUUGCCUCCCGGUCCCAACAUCCUACACGCAGGGACCCAGGGACCGUGGCACUGCGGCUCCACUCCGGGAAGAAUGCAGAAAGGUCCAUCUCCCCCGUGGGAGUGUAG